rnacentral:lncRNA from 1 species
CACAAAGUUGAGGACGGCAAGGCCUUCAUUUUUUAAGGAGACUUUGAGAGCUCUGCACACUGCAGUGCCGUCUCCACGGCAACGGCAAAUGCUGAGAAGCCAGGGAGGAAGGGAAAAUAUGCCUUAUUCUUUGGGGGGGAGGGUUAAGGGGGUGGUGUUGAACAUUCACGUCACCGUGGCAACUGGCCUGCCAAAAGACACCCAGAUCGGGAGAGCCGGUUCCAGAGAAAGAGAGCGGGUGAGUAACCCACGCCGGUGCCGUCGGCCUGGGAGCCAGCUGGCCGCCUCACUCCCCCUGCCUCUGCCAGCUUGAGAGGAUGGGGGUCUUCCUCCCACCCACCCCCACACUGGCUUUUAACCCCAGGAAAGGACACACCCACGGAGGACUCUCUCCCAUUCCUUUUCUAAGUCAAGCAAAUGGCAGGCCAGCAGGUGAGGGGCCCGAGAGGGAGAACUGAGGCCACAGCAAAAGGGCUCCGCCCCGACCGAGGCCCGUGUGGCCCACCCAGCCAACAGCGAGGCUGUGCCCUGAGCCGGGGCUUUGUCGAGACUUGAGACGUCAUCCCCAUAGGCGAAGCCUGCGGCCCCACCCUACCCGGGCUCUCUGCCCCUGCCUGAAGUCUCAGUUGUGGCGCUGAUAACAACGCUCCCUCUGUGCUAGGCGCCGGGCCAAGCACCACGCAAACAUGACUCACUGCAUCCUCUCCACGACCCCGUGAGGCUUGGCAUUGUUAUUCCCUCUUUACCAGGGAAGGAGCUCAGGCUCAGAGAGGUCAAGUAACUUUCCCAAAAUGACACAGGAAGAAGAGUGUGGAUUUUAACCAGCCUCUGACUCCAAGCCAUCACUUCCAGGUGUUCCCUUAUCCGGCCUCCUUCAGGAACAGAAGCUGGGGAGGGGCUCCCAGGACACCUUCUACUCACCCGGUGCUUGAACUUGUUGGAAUUCUUAUUCUCCUUCUUGUUAAGGUCAAUGAAGUAAUGGGUGACCCUCUCCAGGUCACUGUCCUCCAUGGCCCAGGAGAUGCGGAAGGAGUCGCAGGUGAUGUUGUUGAUCUCAAUGCUGUGGGGCGUGGACAGCAGCUCCAUGCUCCCGUCAGGGUUGUCUCCUGUGGGGACUGAGGAGGAGGGAAAGGGUCAGUACAUCCCUUGACCCCGGCGAGCUUUCUGGAAUGUCCUCCUCCCAAUAUCCCUUUCGAGGCGGAACCUCAAGGACCCCUGGAAUCCACAUGCCUCAUGAACCAGAUGGGAAAGACUGUACAGGGGAGGCUGGAGAAGGAUGAUGGAGGGUGGAAAGGGGUGCCUGCCCGGGGGGCUCUUUGCUCUCCUCGGAGGGGUCUGCAGAGCGGACGGGUGAGAGGCGGAGGAAACGCAGGAAGCACCUGCUGUGGAGCGGAGGUGCGAGGCUUGGGGCAGGUGACAGCCAAGAGCUCACAGGUGCCAGGGCCCUCGGAUUCAGGCCUCUCUCCUCACUGGGGUCAGCAAGCGUUGCCGCGGUACAUGGCUGGAAGGACAAGUGCCACGUUGGUGCAUGUGGACACAUUCGUGGUGGGAGGGGUACGCGGCACAGCCGGCUUCAAGCUCUUUUUCCACCCAUAACUUUUUUUGAUGAUCCCUCUUUCUCUUUCGGCCAAUCUUCUCUUGACUCCUUUCAAUCAUGACUUUUAACAUUAACAUCUAUUAGGGGCCGGCCAUGUGCUCAUAAUUUCACAGACGUCUCAUGCAACCUUGGAAGUAGGCACACACUAUCAUUAUCUCCAUUUUACAGAUGAGGCGACUGAGGUUGGGGAGGUACUAACAUGCCCAAGGCCACGCAGAGAGCAAAUGAUUUGAACUCCGGCACCCAAGCUCUUGAUCACUAAGCUAAGAUAGUGUCCCCUCAUGUGUGGGGGUGGAGGGGCACAUGUGUGGCGUGUGUGCAUGCAUGGGUGCCCAUGGUGUUUCCACCUGGCAUUUUUCCUCCUUCCAUCGUUUCCUUUCAAGCAACUGCAUUUUCUCUCCCCUCCCUGUCUUACUCCUUUGGUUCUCCCCUUAUGUCUGCUGCUCGUCCAGGUAUGAGAGGACCUCAUCACGGUCACUCUCAUGUGUGCUUUAGCUGGGAAGAGCUGACUCUGGCCAUGACUCUGGCCUGGCUGGCCUAGCUCCGGGAUGGGGAAGAGCAAAGGGAAGGGGAGUGACAGCGUCUGGGAGGGGACAGCAGACGUGGGUGGGGCAUUCUCCAGGGGCAUUUGGUCUCCUGCUUUCCAAUCCCUUCCUCCAGCCCAGUUCCUGGCACCCCUCAUUUUUCUAAAUGUCACCUCCUUCUCUUCUUUCUCCCCUCUUUUUCUCCUCCCCUUGCCCAGGAGCUAGUGGUGAGGGCAUCUUGUGCCUGCAAAAGCAGGUACUUUUAUUUAUAGCUUCCAGAGGAUCCAGCCCACACCUUCCUGUCAAUUAAGCUUGCUCCAGAGCCUGGCACCUCUGUAUUAACCUGUGAGUUGCCUGGAUGGCAAGUACAGGGUGAAGGCUAAAGGUGAUGGCCCUUACCUGCUCCAGGUGUCACUCAAGUCCUGUUUCAUCUUAGCCUCCCACCCCACAGCCAAAUGCCGGUGGCUUUGUGCAUGGGGAAUCCUAUGGUAAAUAAGCAUGGCGGUGCUACCAGGCCCACCCCAAAAUCAGGCAGAUGGGAUUGAGUGUCUGGAAACAACCCUACCAUAAUAAACCAGUUUGUAAUUCAUGGGGA